GAGGUUUAAGCAAAGAAGAGAUCGAGGGAAGAUAAACUGGAGGAAAACGAGAUAGAGAGGGAGAGUGAAAAAGCAUAGAUGAGAAAGGAGAGGAGGAUCCGAAAAGGAAAGAGACACUGAAGAAGAAAAAACAAAGCACAUACAGAGAACGCUAGACGCACACACAGAGAGUACCAAGAAGGAGAGAAGAGAUCGAGAAGGAGAGAGCUGGACGGUGAUGAGCGAGAUCCGAAGAGAUCGAGGAAGGAGAGAAGAGGGAGUUGAGGAUCUUAAAAAGGAGAGAGAGAUGGAGGUGAAGAAAGAAUUAUCUUGAGAGGAAAAGGAAUGCAUGUCUAGAAUGACAGGCUGCUGCAACUCAAGGACGUGGUCAUUGGUAGUUAAAUCAGAUUCUAGUGUGUGACGUACGAAUUACAAGAAAGGAGCUUGAAUAGGGUUGAAGUUACACGGGUAACCUUUUCUAUCGAACAGAAAGGUUGAGGUUCUAGUACUAGCGGGUUAAAGAGAAAGGAUAUAGGCUGAGUUGACAUCUCUCACCUGAGUCCUUGUAAGAUAUGGUGUAAUGAUUUGUAAAUUAUUAGCCAAAAUAUGUAUAAGUUGCCUUAGGAAUUGAGCAUUUGUAUAUUGUGGUAAAUAUUGUGUUUUGUGAUUUUAAGAUCCCUAACCCUUGUAUAUGUGGGAAUGGGGAAAUGACUGGAUGGGCUAGGGGAUGAAUGUAGUUGUGUGUGAAUAUGAGAUGUGUGGAGAAUAU